UCAGCUGAGACUGAUGGAAAGCGAAUCCCUCUAGCUUCUUGUGCGUGAAGCAAUUGAUGAGACGAGCCCCUCUCCGUAUUUGACGCCUCCUACGGUUAUUUAAAUUCGAAUUUCAAAAGGGUGAAAAAUAGAGAAAGAAACGGAGGCCUCUUCAUUCAAAUUUUGUUUUUGCCCGUUUUGAAAUCUGAUUGUGUUGUGUGCUGGGGAAACUAUAUAUACUGAUGUAUCAACUGCUUUUUGAAUUCCAUUGACUCCACUCCUUGAGAGCUGCUGGUGCCGGCAGAAGACAUGGACGUUCACCGGAGCAAACCAGAGGAGGCGGCACACGACAAGCCAAGGGCUGCGGCCGUGUCGGAGAUCGAAGAGUUCUUCGUGGCCAUGGAGGGCAAGCUCGUGCAGUAUUACAUGGACAAGUAUAAUUAUGAUUUUGUCAAGGACGAGCCAAUGGGAGGACGGUACGAGUGGAUCAGAUUGAAUGAAGCCUUGAAGACUGAAUGAUGAGUGAAAGGAGAAUUAAGCAAGCAAGGCAUUGGUGAUGUUCUAAUUUGGUUAAUUUUUGGUUAAUUUCGGAAUAAUUUGACUGGUCAUUUUGGGAAUUAUCUCUCUCAUGUUUGGCUAGGGUUUAUUCUGUUGUUUCCCUUUUGUCAUGUACAGUCUUCAUGUGUUUAGGAUUCAUAAACAUUAUGGUGAAUAAAGAUUUGAACAUGAAUUAGUAGAAUUGUUUUUUUUUUUUU